rnacentral:rRNA from 1 species
AGUGAACGCUGGCGGUAGGCCUAACACAUGCAAGUCGAACGGCAGCACAGUAAGAGCUUGCUCUUACGGGUGGCGAGUGGCGGACGGGUGAGGAAUACAUCGGAAUCUACUUUUUCGUGGGGGAUAACGUAGGGAAACUUACGCUAAUACCGCAUACGACCUACGGGUGAAAGCAGGGGAUCUUCGGACCUUGCGCGAUUGAAUGAGCCGAUGUCGGAUUAGCUAGUUGGCGGGGUAAAGGCCCACCAAGGCGACGAUCCGUAGCUGGUCUGAGAGGAUGAUCAGCCACACUGGAACUGAGACACGGUCCAGACUCCUACGGGGGGCAGCAGUGGGGAAUAUUGGACAAUGGGCGCAAGCCUGAUCCAGCCAUACCGCGUGGGUGAAGAAGGCCUUCGGGUUGUAAAGCCCUUUUGUUGGGAAAGAAAAGCAGCGGGUUAAUACCCCGCUGUUCUGACGGUACCCAAAGAAUAAGCACCGGCUAACUUCGUG